rnacentral:rRNA from 1 species
ACCGUACUCCUACGGGAGGCAGCAGUGGGGAAUUUUGGACAAUGGGGGCAACCCUGAUCCAGCAAUGCCGCGUGAGUGAAGAAGGCCUUCGGGUUGUAAAGCUCUUUUGUAAGGGAAGGAACGGUAGUAGCUAAUAUCUAUUACUAAUGACGGUACCUGAAGAAUAAGCACCUGCUAACUACGUGCCAGCAGCCGCGGUAAUACGUAGGGUGCAAGCGUUAAUCGGAAUUACUGGUCGUAAAGCGUGCGCAGGCGGUUGUGUAAGUCAGAUGUGAAAUCCCCGGGCUCAACCUGGGAAUUGCAGUGGAGACUGCACGGCUAGAGAGUGUCAGAGGGGGGUAGAAUUCAACGUGUAGCAGUGAAAUGCGUAGAUAUGUGGAGGAAUAACGAUUGCGAAGGCAGCCCCCUGGGAUAACACUGACGCUCAUGCACGAAAGCGUGGGGAGCAAACAGGAUUAGAAACCCUUGUAGUCCUUGAC